rnacentral:rRNA from 1 species
UACGUAGGGGGCAAGCGUUGUCCGGAUUUAUUGGGCGUAAAGAGCGUGUAGGCGGCCAUACAGGUCAGCUGUGAAAACUCGAGGCUCAACCUCGAGACGUCGGUUGAAACCGUAUGGCUAGAGUCCGGAAGAGGAGAGUGGAAUUCCCGGUGUAGCGGUGAAAUGCGCAGAUAUCGGGAAGAACACCCGUGGCGAAGGCGGCUCUCUGGGCUGACACUGACGCUCAUGCACGAAAGCGUGGGGAGCAAACAGG